UACGUAGGGCGCAAGCGUUGUCCGGAAUUACUGGGCGUAAAGCGUGCGUAGGCGGUUUCUUAAGUCUGCUGUGAAAGCCCCGGGCUCAACCUGGGAAUGGCGGUGGAUACUGAGGAGCUGGAGUACGGUAGAGGAAGGUGGAAUUCCCGGUGUAGCGGUGAAAUGCGUAGAGAUCGGGAGGAACAUCAGUGGCGAAGGCGGCCUUCUGGACCAGUACUGACGCUGAGGCACGAAAGCGUGGGGAGCAAACAGG
rnacentral:rRNA from 1 species